CCCUGUGCUCUUCCAGAAGGUUGGUCCGUGGAAUGGAAUUCGUCCUCGGCCAACAUUGGUGAUACCGAGUGAUGUCGUGCCUGGGCUUAGCAUGACAUCCGUCUUGUCGACGUGCUAUAGAUCAUCGCGUAUGUUUUCCGCUGCUAAAGGUCUUAGCUUAAAUAGUUUGUAUUGUUUUCUCUAAGUUUGAAACUUUGUACUACUUUUAUAAACUCUUGUAAUGUA
rnacentral:lncRNA from 1 species